AUGCAGCACAGAGGAGAGGCGAGCGCCCCAGAGCAGGAUAUCAGCCAACACGGCCAUGGUCAGGGAGCCUCUGCUUAUAAGUGUAGCUUCAGAUUUGAAUAUCAUGGAGCUCUUCCGUUCUGGAUUCUGGCUUCAGUUCGGAGGCUGAGGUUGGUGUUGGCGUACAAAGGAUCUGCAGUGAGCACACAGCUGCACAGCUGGAGAUCUAGCAUAACUCAGGGAGAGAGCUGCCUUCCCUCUGGCUCCUGCAUCGCACGAAAUGGAUGGCCAGGUCCCAGCAGGAGUACAUGGCAGUGUUCCUGGCAGUGCAGUUUGUGACCCAUCCAGCAUGAGCAACACGUUUCUCCUUGUGAGCGGAGCUCUGACCCCUGAUUCCACUCUGACCACAGUGUGCUUCCCCCAGUGGCUGCUUUUCACCUCUGAGCAUUCAACAGAUUUCAGCUGAAUGCUGUUAGCUUGGUGAUGGAGCCGCUGUCACUUGUGCAGCUCCAGGGAGCUGGAUGUUGCCUCCAAGCUCUUGGGAUCAAAACUGUCAAAGUACAGGCAGGUAGUAGGGAGCUGCUACACUGUCUUCCUCAGCCUGCAGAUGGUGUGUAAAUGGUGAUCUUUCAUCUUAACAGAAUGCUAAAACUUGAAACUCAAUUAUGACAGUUGCAUUUGCGUUCUUAACAAUUUCAGGACCUGAUCAUUUUAGCAAAACACUUGAACAAUGAGUCUCUAUUAGAUGUAGCUGCUUAGCAGUUCAAAAGAUAAUUUUCAACUUCUAUCUUGUUAACUUCAGGUGCCUUUUUGGGUUGUCAGCAUUCAUUGGUGUGCAGGAAAUUUAAAAUGAAGGUAAAUACAAAUCACUUUAUUGGAGGGAGAAAAGAAAAUAGCUUUCCUGUGUUGAUUAUAUUGCUUGUCUACCAUCCUAAGCAAGAAAACAUUCUUGCUCUUGAUUUAGACUGUGGAGAAGGUAUGCUGGGUAAUCAAGGGCUCUUCCUGAUAGCAUGCCCAGAUACUCAAUUGCAUGGCUAGAGCUCCAGCUUAGGGCUACACAGUUCUGCAUAGCUAACACAUAGAAACUCAAGAGCUAUACUGUUUAGAAUCAGAGAUAACUCUUCAAAGUUAAAAUGUGUUUUUCCAUUUGGACAACUUUCUUGAUUUAUAACUUUAUCUACGAUCAGAUUUAAGACUGUAAGCCCAAGCAUUGUUUCUGGAGGAAGCAGAAUGUGGACUGUUUACAAUAGGAGCUGUUAGUAGACCCAGUUGAAGGGUGGAAAUAAAUUCAUGCAUAGUGCUCCA
rnacentral:lncRNA from 1 species